CAUACUUUUGCUUUCCACUUAUCCAUAAAUUUCAGAUUCACCAUCUCAGGAUGGCAUUGUUUGAACUUUGGCGUGGAAAUGGCAGGGAAGCUCAGUGCUUUCCUGCUCUCUGUGCGGCACCCAGCGCUAGCUCAGCCUCCUGUUCUCCCUGAAGCCUCCUGGAAGCUCAACCAGCAGCACAUGUGCAGAAGGGACCUGUUGGCUUCGCGGAGGUGAGCGCUGGUGAAGACUGCAUCGCUGGAGCCCAGAAUACUGGAUCACAUCGCCGGAAAGACCCCUAAGGAGACAGAUGAACAAAAACAUAGCUAGGAAGAAAUACAAAGGCCCAUCAAAAUAAAUAAAUCUGUGGCACAGGAUGAAGGAACAGCCCCAUGUGACAAUAACGUUUGUAGGGUAUAAUUUCUAGCAAUGUCCUAAGGCGUCUGUAAACAUGGCCCCGAUUCUUUAUGAAGAGGAACAGCGGAACUGGGAUCAUUCAUAGAAGCAUUACAGCCACAAAGGAAGUCUAUUGUCAUCUCUGCCAGCAAUGGUGUAAUGUGGGUGCGCGCAGUCCUGGACCAAGCCUCUCCAGAGUAAGCUAUGCAAUAUAACUCACAUUAAGUUGAACUGUUCCAGGGUAUUAACUGCAGUAAUUUACCACAAAAUAGCCUCACAUAAGUGAUGAAUUGAAUAAUAACAUAUGUUUCCGAAUUGGCGUGUCUGUUGGGAUGAUUUUACUCCGUGUGAAACACUAGGAAAUCUGGGGAAUUUUCCUGUUGCGUAAAAUUGUAAAUAAAGUUUGACCAUCUCGAAAUAAAAAUGAAAACAGUG